GGAGGCAGGGGUGGGGGAGUGGGCCCAGGAAUCUGCAUACUAAACGGACCUCUCCCAUCAAGGUGAUGCUGACUCAGCGUGUCCCUGACCACGUGGUUGGGACCUCCAAGCUCUCCCUGACUUAGCUAAAACUCCCCGUGGGGAGGGACUUGCCCCAAGUAAAAAGACAGGUGAGUAGAAAAGCUCCUUGUCCGGGGCUCCCACUCUGACUUCAUCCUAUCUUUUUUUUUUUUUUUCCUCCCAUUUUUGGCCGCCUCAUGGCAUAUGGAAUUCCCAGGCCAGGGAUCAGAUCCGAGAUGCAGUUUUGAUCUACGCUGCCGCUGCAGCAAUGUCAGAUCCUUUAACUCGCUGUGCCGGGAGUGGGAUCGAACCCGCGUCUUGGCACUGCAGAGAUGCUGAAGAUCCACUGUUGCGCCACCAUGAGAAUGCUGCUUCCUCCUAUCUUAUUUAAGGAACUUUGUGUGGUCAGAGAUCCAGGUAUGUUCAUUUACUAGGGCUGCUGUAGCGCAAUACCAUAAAUUGGGUGGCUUCAAAUAGCAGGCAUAUUUAUCCUCUCAGUUUUGGAGGCUGGAGGCCUGAAAUCAAGGUGUCAGCAGGGCCUGCUCCCUCUGAAGCCCCUGGGCACAGGGAGGAAUGUUUUCACCUCUUCCAGCUGCCGUGAUGGCUGGCAGUGCUCUGAGUUCCUUGGCUGGGGCUGCGUUGCUCCAGUCUCUGCCUCUGUCGCCUCAGAGCCUCUUCCUGGCAUGGCUCUAUCCACUCUCCCCCUUCUUCUAAGGACGCUCGUCACUGGAUUUAGGGCCAUCCUAUGCCAGUCAGACCUCAUCUUAACGAAUCGUAUCUGCAAAGACCUUUAUUUCCAGUAAGGUCACAUGCUGAGGUUCUGGGGAGAUGUGAAUUUGAGGCGGGUCCAGUUCAACCCACAGCACCAGGUGAUACACUCACCCCCACUCUCCCUACAGCAUGACUCUUCCCAGCCAUCAGGGAAAAAGCCACCUCCCCAGAGAAGCCCUCCCUGAUCACUCCACCUACACUGAGGGUCUCUUGCCCAGUUCUUCUUCUUUUUUUAAAUUAAUGUAUACUUGAUUUACAGUGUGGUGUCCAUUUCUGCUGUACAGCAUACUGACCCAGUGACACACACACACACACACACACACACACACACACACACACACACAUCCUUUCUCUCAUACUCUUCUUUGUCACAGCCUCCCCCCUGCUUCCUUCACAGCCAUGUUCUCCUUUACCUGUCUGCACCCCCAGACCUGAAACUCCUUGAGAGCUGGAACUCUCUCAGUUCUGUUUUUCAGGUGUCAAAGCAGCCCUUUUCAUGAGGACGACGGAUGCUUCUAGAAGGAAGGAGUGAGUACCCACCAAGGCUCUGGGCUCAGCCCCGCCUCCACCUGCUGUGUGACCUUGGGACAUCUCUGAGCAGCUUGGCGCCUCAGUAGCCUCACUUGUAAGAGUGGGGCUCUCUCCAAGGGCCCAUCACUUGGAGAGGGUUAGCCACCCUGUUUCCAUCUUCAUGACAGGAAUUUCAAGACAGCAAUGGUAGAUCGUGAAACCAACACAAGACCCGGCUGACUUCCCAGGUCACAAACCCACCUGGCCAGCUCUGGCUGUUGGGCUUUGAACUUCUUUUCUUGUAUGUUAAAAAAAAAAACCUCAAGUGAUCACCUCAUGCCUGUCAGAAUGGCUGUUAUCAAAAAGGUUCAAAAGAGGAAAGCUACUGACGUGCCCACCAAAGGAUGAAUGGAUAAAGAUGUCCAAUAUAUAUAAAAUAUGGCUUGAUACUCAGCGAUCAAAAAAGACGGAAUCAUGCCUUUGGCAACAACAUGGAUGGACCUUGAGAGGCUUAUGCUACGUGAAGAAGAGCUGAUUUCCUACUUCCUAUGGACCAAAGCAUGGGCAAGGUAAUGAUCCAGCCAUGACCUUGGAGGUGAAGGUGACAUACGAGGAGAAUGCUGUGGCAGGAAAAUGGAAGGAACCCCAGUCCCUGCAUGGCUGUGGAACAGGGCUGCCCUGUCAUCUUAGACCACUCACUCAUCUUCGAUUUUUAGGGAAAUCUGGACACAGAGGGAUGUGCCCCGGGAAGACGCUGUAAAAUGGCACAGGGAAGAGACACUCAUCUACCGCCAAGGAGAGAAGCACAGCCCUCGAAAGGAAGCAAACCUGCCAACACCUUCAUCGUGGACUUCCAGCCUCCAGACUGUGAGUCCGUGAAUUUCUGUUGCCUAAACUUCCCAGUCUAUGGCACUUUGUGAGGAAAGCCCGAGAACUCACGUAGCAGGAAGAAGAACUUUUGAAGAUUCCCUUGCAGCCAGGUUUGGCCACAUGAUGCAACACUAGCCAAUGAAAUGCCAGCACCGCGAGAGAAAAGGAUGCUGGGAGAGUUUCCCGGAAAGACUUGAUUUCCUUGCAGAGGCUGCUGGUGCACCCAUUUCCCCCUCUCCUGCCUUGGCUGCGGACGGGCUAUUAUGGGUCAUUUUAUGGCCAUGAGAGAAAGUGCUAGAGCUUGGGAAGAUGCCAGCCCUGCCGCUCUUGCCCCACCUGUAACUGCCUCCUUUUAGCCUCCUCCUUCCUUAAUCCACACUGGUCAGGGCUUCUGGGAUUUACAGAGGAACAAAUUCCUGAUGCAUCUGCUCCUUAAGUGCCUCUGACCACCUUCACCGGGCUGUUGCAUAAAACGGUGUUGCAAACGGUGUUAA